CAGCUCUUGACAUCCUGAUCGCCGCGCUUGUAAUGAGCGUUUCAUUUAGUUGGAUCAGAGACAGGUGCUGCAUGGCUGUCGUCAGCUCGUGUCGUGAGAUGUUGGGUUAAGUCCCGCAACGAGCGCAACCCUCACCUUUAGUUACCAUCAUUUGGUUGGGCACUCUGAAGGAACUGCCGGUGACAAGCCGGAGGAAGGCGGGGAUGACGUCAAGUCCUCAUGGCCUUUAUGGGCUGGGCUACACACGUGCUACAAUGGCGGUGACAGAGGGAGGCGACGGGGCGACCCCAAGCCAAUCUCGAAAAGCCGUCUCAGUUCGGAUUGUUCUCUGCAACUCGAGAGCAUGAAGCUGGAAUCGCUAGUAAUCGCGGAUCAGCACGCCGCGGUGAAUA
rnacentral:rRNA from 1 species